rnacentral:rRNA from 1 species
GACGAACGCUGGCGGCGUGCUUAACACAUGCAAGUCGAACGAAGAGCGAUGGAAGCUUGCUUCUAUCAAUCUUAGUGGCGAACGGGUGAGUAACGCGUAAUCAACCUGCCCUUCAGAGGGGGACAACAGUUGGAAACGACUGCUAAUACCGCAUACGAUCUAAUCUCGGCAUCGAGGAUAGAUGAAAGGUGGCCUCUACAUGUAAGCUAUCACUGAAGGAGGGGAUUGCGUCUGAUUAGCUAGUUGGAGGGGUAACGGCCCACCAAGGCGAUGAUCAGUAGCCGGUCUGAGAGGAUGAACGGCCACAUUGGGACUGAGACACGGCCCAGACUCCUACGGGAGGCAGCAGUGGGGAAUCUUCCGCAAUGGACGAAAGUCUGACGGAGCAACGCCGCGUGAGCGAUGACGGCCUUCGGCUUGUAAAGCUCUGUUAAUCGGGACGAAAGGCCUUCUUGCGAAUAGUGAGAAGGAUUGACGGUACCGGAAUAGAAAGCCACGGCUAACUACGUG